UUUUGCAGUGUUUAGGAUGAAUGCUUAUUAAGCUUAUCAUGAUCCUGAGGCAUCAGCUCAACAAGAUACCCAAACUUGUGCUUCAUUCUUAUCAUAACAGCUUAUGAAGGAACUACUUGCAGCUUUGGCAUUGUCUCAGGAAUGGUGUUGUUUUGAGCCCAGAUUUGCCACUCAUUCAGAAAUCAUGGGUUUGCACCUCUCUGCCAUUCAGGAUGUGAACUAAACAAUCAAGAUAUAUUUUUAAAGAUGAGUCCUGAGUUCUUUGCUGGAAAUUGACAGAAGAAAGCAGUGAGAGGGAUCCCAAGUCCCUUCCUGAGAAGGAGAAAUAGGCCACGUUCCCACCAGCAGCACUCCAUGCCCAAGCCCCUGGCACCCCACUGCCAAUGCACCUCUUACUUAUGGAGAAGGAGCCUGGUGUGGGCUGGGCAGGAGGAGAUGGAGCUUCAGUAAAAAGGCACAACUUCUGGAGAGUGAGAAUGGGGAGAGGUCCUGAUUGCACCCACAGCCAGGAAUUCUUUCUUCUGUUGUGCCAACUGCUCUGUGAUGAAGAUACUCUGUGAAAUGUGACAAGUGACUUUUUUACUCCCUAGAUGUCUUCCCCCAUAUAGAGUUAGAGCUUUUUUACACUUGUGGAGUCUUACCUUUCAUUUACAGGAUAGCCUCAGUCCACCUCUGCUACUGCACAGGCUGAGGAUUUUCAUAGCCCUGGCUCCAGCGUACAUCAGCCUCCUCCCCUCUCAGGCGCUACUCAGUGUGCAACAUUUCUCUAUUGAAAAAAGCCUUUCCUGUUCUCUGAGCUGCUUUUCUAUCUCAUUACACACAGACCAUCGAUUAAGCAACAGUGGCACUCAGGAAAAGGCGAAGUGGCUCGGAAGUAAUUGAUCUCCAUUCAGUCUUUGUGGAAGAAGUCAUAAUCUAUAGUGGUGAUGUAUCUGUCCUCCCAUGCAUUUCUUUUUGCAGGGAAACACAAAACUGCUCACAAUUUUAGGACUUGUGCAUUUCAGAAUGUGUUUGAAAAACAGCUUCUUGUCUGAUUAAAAAUAAUGAAAUUGUUGCUAAGCUACAGAAUAUGAAAUUUUGGAACAUCAAAUUCAAUUUCUGAGAAAGAGUCCUGUUUCUUCAAGCAGAGCCAUUUUCACAUGGUAGGUGUCUUAUGCACAUACAUUCUAGGCUAUUUCUUUGCCGUUUCUCAGCUGUGUUAGGGCUGAGCAGGGAUGACCACAUUACAAUGCUGUUGUGGCAUUUUGGUCCAAUCUGCUGUAAUGUCACUGCAUGGGGAAAUCCUCUGAGGUCUGUGUCAGAGUACAGUGAUGGAUGGAUGUAUUGGCUCAUUCUGAAUGUUCUUGAGCUGGACCCAUUGGAAGGGAGCUUAGUGUCAGUGUCGAGUGGUGGGAUGGUAAGAAGGCUUUUGUGACACUGAAAACCUUUGUGGCAAUUACAGAGAGAAAGUGAAGAUGUGGUAACAGGGCAGGAUGCAAGGAUGAGUACAGGGAAGGCAAGGUCUGAGCAGAGACAUCAGUGCUGGGGAAUGGUCUGAGAGGGUCAUGAGAAGAACAGUAAAGUACUCACUAAAAUAUCAGAUGCUUCAGGAAUAAAAACAAAAACAAAUUGUAUAAAGAUCUAAUAUUUGGGAAUUCAGUAUUUGCUGUAUGAUGCAACCUGGAAAUCACAGGCCAGUAUGUAGCAGGGCUGUGUGAACUUAACACUGGGAUGAGCUUUUCUGCGAUAUUAAUGGUUCAGGCACUGUGAACUGCUAUUUGGGCACUUGAAUCCUUCAGUGAGCACAGGUCCUCUCUUCAGCUACGUGGGCUCUCCUGGUGCUAUUUGGAAGCUGUUGAUCCCAGAUACUGAAAGUGAGAUGCAUGUACAGACUGC